rnacentral:rRNA from 1 species
UACGUAGGGGGCAAGCGUUGUCCGGAAUCAUUGGGCGUAAAGAGCGUGUAGGCGGCCUGAUAAGUCGGUUGUGAAAGUCAAGGGCUCAACCCUUGAAUGCCGACCGAUACUGUCAGGCUAGAGUCCGGAAGAGGAGAGUGGAAUUCCGUGGUGUAGCGGUGAAAGUGCGCAGAUAUCAGGAAGAACACCCGUGGCGAAGGCGGCCCCCUGGUUCGGAUACUGACGCUGACUACGCGAAAGCGUGGGGAGCAAAGCA